rnacentral:rRNA from 1 species
GGGUUGUGAGGUUAAGCGACUAAGCGUACACGGUGGAUGCCCUGGCAGUCAGAGGCGAUGAAGGGCGUGCUAAUCUGCGAUAAGCGCCGGUAAGGUGAUAUGAACCGUUAUAACCGGCGAUACCCGAAUGGGGAAACCCAGUGUGAUUCGUCACACUAUCAUUAACUGAAUCCAUAGGUUAAUGAGGCGAACCGGGGGAACUGAAACAUCUAAGUACCCCGAGGAAAAGAAAUCAACCGAGAUUCCCCCAGUAGCGGCGAGCGAACGGGGAGGAGCCCAGAGCCUGAAUCAGCAUGUGUGUUAGUGGAAGCGUCUGGAAAGGCGCGCGAUACAGGGUGACAGCCCCGUACACAAAAGCGCAUGUGCUGUGAGCUCGAUGAGUAGGGCGGGACACGUGGUAUCCUGUCUGAAUAUGGGGGGACCAUCCUCCAAGGCUAAAUACUCCUGACUGACCGAUAGUGAACCAGUACCGUGAGGGAAAGGCGAAAAGAACCCCGGCGAGGGGAGUGAAAAAGAACCUGAAACCGUGUACGUACAAGCAGUGGGAGCACAGGUUUACCUGUGUGACUGCGUACCUUUUGUAUAAUGGGUCAGCGACUUAUAUUCUGUAGCAAGGUUAACCGAAUAGGGGAGCCGGAGGGAAACCGAGUCUUAAUUGGGCGUUAAGUUGCAGGGUAUAGACCCGAAACCCGGUGAUCUAGCCAUGGGCAGGUUGAAGGUUGGGUAACACUAACUGGAGGACCGAACCGACUAAUGUUGAAAAAUUAGCGGAUGACCUGUGGCUGGGGGUGAAAGGCCAAUCAAACCGGGAGAUAGCUGGUUCUCCCCGAAAGCUAUUUAGGUAGCGCCUCGUGAAUUCAUCUCCGGGGGUAGAGCACUGUUUCGGCUAGGGGGCCAUCCCGGCUUACCAACCCGAUGCAAACUGCGAAUACCGGAGAAUGUUAUCACGGGAGACACACGGCGGGUGCUAACGUCCGUCGUGAAGAGGGAAACAACCCAGACCGCCAGCUAAGGUCCCAAAGUCAUGGUUAAGUGGGAAACGAUGUGGGAAGGCCCAGACAGCCAGGAUGUUGGCUUAGAAGCAGCCAUCAUUUAAAGAAAGCGUAAUAGCUCACUGGUCGAGUCGGCCUGCGCGGAAGAUGUAACGGGGCUAAACCAUGCACCGAAGCUGCGGCAGCGNNUGCUGGAGGUAUCAGAAGUGCGAAUGCUGACAUAAGUAACGAUAAAGCGGGUGAAAAGCCCGCUCGCCGGAAGACCAAGGGUUCCUGUCCAACGUUAAUCGGGGCAGGGUGAGUCGACCCCUAAGGCGAGGCCGAAAGGCGUAGUCGAUGGGAAACGGGUUAAUAUUCCCGUACUUGGUGUUACUGCGAAGGGGGGACGGAGAAGGCUAUGUUGGCCGGGCGACGGUUGUCCCGGUUUAAGCGUGUAGGUGUGUGUUCCAGGUAAAUCCGGUUCACUUUAACACUGAGGCGUGAUGACGAGGCACUACGGUGCUGAAGUAACAAAUGCCCUGCUUCCAGGAAAAGCCUCUAAGCAUCAGGUAACAUCAAAUCGUACCCCAAACCGACACAGGUGGUCAGGUAGAGAAUACCAAGGCGCUUGAGAGAACUCGGGUGAAGGAACUAGGCAAAAUGGUGCCGUAACUUCGGGAGAAGGCACGCUGACACGUAGGUGAAGUGAUUUACUCAUGGAGCUGAAGUCAGUCGAAGAUACCAGCUGGCUGCAACUGUUUAUUAAAAACACAGCACUGUGCAAACACGAAAGUGGACGUAUACGGUGUGACGCCUGCCCGGUGCCGGAAGGUUAAUUGAUGGGGUCAGCGCAAGCGAAGCUCCUGAUCGAAGCCCCGGUAAACGGCGGCCGUAACUAUAACGGUCCUAAGGUAGCGAAAUUCCUUGUCGGGUAAGUUCCGACCUGCACGAAUGGCGUAAUGAUGGCCAGGCUGUCUCCACCCGAGACUCAGUGAAAUUGAACUCGCUGUGAAGAUGCAGUGUACCCGCGGCAAGACGGAAAGACCCCGUGAACCUUUACUAUAGCUUGACACUGAACAUUGAGCCUUGAUGUGUAGGAUAGGUGGGAGGCUUUGAAGUGUGGACGCCAGUCUGCAUGGAGCCGACCUUGAAAUACCACCCUUUAAUGUUUGAUGUUCUAACGUGGACCCGUGAUCCGGGUUGCGGACAGUGUCUGGUGGGUAGUUUGACUGGGGCGGUCUCCUCCUAAAGAGUAACGGAGGAGCACGAAGGUUGGCUAAUCCUGGUCGGACAUCAGGAGGUUAGUGCAAUGGCAUAAGCCAGCUUGACUGCGAGCGUGACGGCGCGAGCAGGUGCGAAAGCAGGUCAUAGUGAUCCGGUGGUUCUGAAUGGAAGGGCCAUCGCUCAACGGAUAAAAGGUACUCCGGGGAUAACAGGCUGAUACCGCCCAAGAGUUCAUAUCGACGGCGGUGUUUGGCACCUCGAUGUCGGCUCAUCACAUCCUGGGGCUGAAGUAGGUCCCAAGGGUAUGGCUGUUCGCCAUUUAAAGUGGUACGCGAGCUGGGUUUAGAACGUCGUGAGACAGUUCGGUCCCUAUCUGCCGUGGGCGCUGGAGAACUGAGGGGGGCUGCUCCUAGUACGAGAGGACCGGAGUGGACGCAUCACUGGUGUUCGGGUUGUCAUGCCAAUGGCACUGCCCGGUAGCUAAAUGCGGAAGAGAUAAGUGCUGAAAGCAUCUAAGCACGAAACUUGCCCCGAGAUGAGUUCUCCCUGAGACUU